ACGCUCGACACCUACUGGAGGCAGCAGUGGGGAAUAUUGCACAAUGGGGGAAACCCUGAUGCAGCGACGCCGCGUGAAGGAAGAAGUAUUUCGGUAUGUAAACUUCUAUCAGCAGGGAAGAAGAUGACGGUACCUGACUAAGAAGCCCCGGCUAACUACGUGCCAACAGCCGCGGUAAUCUGAGCGGGCUGGCAAGGC
rnacentral:rRNA from 1 species